rnacentral:rRNA from 1 species
UACAGAGGCCUCGAGCGUUAGGCGGAAUCACUGGGCUUAAAGCGUGUGUAGGCGGACUUCUAAGUACCUUGUGAAAUCCCACGGCUUACCCGUGGAACGGCUGGGUAUACUGGGAGUCUUGAGCCACCUAGGGGCGAGUGGAACAAAUGGUGGAGCGGUGAAAUGCGUAGAUAUCAUUUGGAACGCCAAUGGUGAAAACAACGUCGCUGGGGGGUGUGCUGACGCUGGAGAGACGGAAAGCUAGGGGAGCGAAUGGG